CUUUUUGGCGGCUCGAGCAGGGAGCCGCGAGGCUCGCCGGUUUGCGCAAGCAGUUCCCGGUACGCCAACCUGUUCGAGCUGCCGCCCUC
rnacentral:antisense_RNA from 1 species